AAAUGAGCCCAAUUAGUUUCCAUGAGGACACAGGUUCGAUCCCUGGCCUCGCUCAGUGGGUUAAGGAUCUGGCAUUGCUGUGGCUGUGGUGGAGGCCAGCAGCUGUAGCUCUGAUUGGACCCCUAGCCUGGGAACCUCCAUAAGCUGUGGGUGUGGCCCUAAAAAGACAAAGGGGAAACAAAAUGAAGUCGGGGAGGGCCAUCUCUGCGCUUGACUCAUGGAGCUACUGGGUACACUGCUUGGAGGAGUAAUGAGAUGCAGCAAAGAUUGCAACAGCGAUGUGGGCACCACCUGGAGAAGAGGCUGGAGGAGCACGGUGGCCCAUUAGAGACCCGGAGUGAAGGGGAGGGAACGCCAGCCUGGCGUUGUGACCCUGCAAGUCCUAGGACUGGCCAGUCUUUAGAUGGCCUUAGAGAACAGAAGCGGUCCACAGGUUGGGUGUGGGGCCAGAAAAGUUGGAUGAUGCAAAGAUUCUGAUCUAGAACCCCUGGAGAAGUGGAGUCACCUCUUUCCGAGGCAGGAAGAUCGUAGCAGGGACUGUAACGUUGAAGACAGAGCCCUGGAAUUGAGAGAUGGCGGCUGGAGACAGGACGGGCCAGCCCUCGGGACAGCGACGUCACAGGGGUACCGUCCGGAGUGGACCUCAGGGGACACAGCGCGCGUAGGAGUCGGCGAGCCGGCCAAGGAAGGAGCUGCCAGGAGGUGACAAGAGCACCGCGCCCUGCCCUCGAAGGCACAUGUCGAAGGGGUUUCCUGGAGGGACACGAACGACCCUGUGCUGCAGGAGGAAGAAGACUGGACGCAGGAGGCCCGCGGAGGCCACAGUGGCCACGCUUCAGAGUGAGGCUGCUUCAGCACAGGCAGCUGGAUGGUCCAUCUUCUUAGCAGCAGCUUUCAAGCAGGGCAGGCUGAGGACCAGUCUAGUGUUUGAUUUUAAAGGAUCUGAGCAACUUCCUAUGGUUUUAAAAAUAACAGCUGAGGGCUCUAUCGAUGUGUAUUUUACCGCAUCCAUCCCUUAGAGCCGGCUUUUUAAAGGGAGGCCUGUGUGCAGAGGUCAGAACCGCGGCCGCCUCGCCGAGGGAGUUCUGCUCCUCCGAGGGUCCUGCCUUCGGUGGGACUAGAAUCUUGUGCAAAGUGACCCAGGCCAGGCCUUUCGCGCUGCAUGAUGGGAAGCUCGGGCACAGUGAUGCUUCUGUGCAGAAACUAACAGCUCCUCAUCCGUGUUGCUGCUCUGGGGUGCCUUCUAGAGUGUCCGCUCACCACAGCCCUCCCCGAGCCGCCCGGCUCUGGCCUCUUGCCCGGGGCUCACGUCUGUGCCCACACAGCUGCCUUCAGCCAGCACCUGCGUGCGCAGCCUGUUCCAGGUGGCUGGCUGGCCUUGCUCUGCCCUUGCCCCACAUGCUCGUCGUCUAGACUGUCCCUUGGUUUGGCUCAGGGAGGUGGCCUGUCACAGCGCUUCUGAGUCCAGCCUCUGCGGUACAGUGGCCACUACCUGCCUGCACUAGUGUGUCACUGCUGGGUAACCCGCCAUCCCAGGACUUAGCUGUUUAAAAGAAUAAACAUUUACAAGGUCACACAUUUCCCCAGGGUCGGGAAUCUGGGACACAUUCUGGCUCAGAGUCACGAGGGCACAACCUGUCAGCAGGGGCUGCGGUCACUCAAGGCUCGGCUGGCCGGGGCUGCUGGGGGGAGGGAGGCUCCAGCCCUGUCCCAUGGGCCCCUCUGCACAUGUCCUCACGACCUGGCAGCUGCCUCCCUGCAGAACAAGUGGUCCAAGUGGGAGAGUCCUCCAGUGAGGCAGCCAGACACACACCCCGACCUCAGAAGUAAUGUGACAUCCCUUCUCACGCCGGUGGCCCUGGCACAGGGCGGUGACUGCACAGGGGUGGGCCAUCUGGGAGGCUGGCUCCCAUGGGGUGGUGAGUUACCUGACACCCCUGUGCCUUAGCAUCCUCACCUAUGAGGUGGGGAGAGUGGUGGCUCCCUCAGGGGGGUUGUCCAGUGAGGCCUGGCACGAGGUCAGCUACUGACUGUGAUGGAGCGAGCGAACCCUGACGCACGCAUGCGCACAGAGGCACAGCCCGGGGGGGAUGUGGACACCGCCCCCUCCCCCUUGUCCGAAGAUCCUCAGCCUUUGUUUCUGUGGUAGUGACCUCCCAAGGGCACCUCCCUGCCACAGCCACCGAGACUCAGGCACCCAGGGAAAGGUCUGCCCCACCUUGCCCACCAGCAGCUGGCACCUGGAACCGUGGCCUGUCUGGGCUCUGCCUUGACUUGUCUGACCAACGGGGAGCCAGGGGGUGACCCAGUGACUCUUCCACCCAUUUCUCCCAGUAUUGGACCACUGCGUUCCAGACAGAGGCGCCCCCAACCCGGGUGUGGUGGGUAACCCCUGAGGUCCCGUCACGGGACCCCCGGCGCUUCUCCAGAGCAAGGCCCAUGUUUCCAGGUUUGCGGUCACCUGCACAGGGCACAGGAGCUGGCAGAGGAAGGGCGGGCUGGCGCUCACCUGGGCAGGAAGAUCACAGGCGCCUUCUCAAAACAGAGCCCCUUUAGAUGGUUAACUGAGCCGGGGGCGGUACUGCUGCUGAACAAGAUGCAGGGCAGUCUCCCCAAACCAACCCUACGAUGUGCUAAUUCCCCUCCCGAGGCCGUGCCCAGGGCCCUGCAGCUGCCCCUUGGAGGUGGAGGUGGGGGCGGGGGGGAGGGGUCAAUGUCAACACAACACCCAGAGGGAGUCGGGUGGAUCUGCUUUGCUUUGCGGGCAGGAGAUGCACGAUUUCCAAAGAUGCCAAAAGAGGAUGCAAAGGCGAGAUCCAAACUCUUCGAAAGAGAGACACGAAGGGCAAGUUCACCAGGGCAGCCGAGUCCCAAGCCAUCUGGGAUCGGAGGCUGCCGCAGCGCCGUCUGCAGAGCUGCCCCCGGGGAAGCUUCAGGCCCAAGAAAGUCCCCGGAGUGUAGACCCUGUGGUGGCCUCUCAGCCCAGAGGCUCUGGGUUGGGAGGGAUCCCAAGUUCACGGUGAGAAGCCACGGACCCUCUUCCUAACGAACACGUGCCUCGUCCACCACUGCUGAGCCCCACAGGCCUGGUCCCCGCGAGGCUUCCUUCCCCGCUGAGCGGCUCCAAGUGGUGCAGCUGCAUCACAGAAUCUUUCUUCCCCAGGGAGUCUUUUUUUCCUGCACGUCAAGCGUAGCGGAUAAUUUAGGUCACACUGUAGACGCCUUAGAGAAAUGUCUUCCACGUUAAGCAGCGCCGAGCCCCGCGCCUCUUUGCUUCUGACUUGCCAGCAGCGUGUUCCCUCUGUCCCCGUGUUUCAGGUUAUUUCCGUCUAACACCAAACAACUCCGCACGAUUACCUAGGUCUCUGCCUGCCUGGUAAAGCAGGUGACCGACCCCUCAGCCUACCUUCGACGUGCUCGCCCCAGUCCCCACCACUCUCUAUCACCCCCCACCCAGCCGGCUGCAGGCAUUUGCUGGUAGCUAUUUGGCCUCGUUUGCUGGUUGCAUUUGACGACCACAGCCCAAGUGAUAGGCCGUGUCCCAUAUUCUCUGCCGUGUGGCCGAGGGAAUCCGGUUUGCUGAAAAAGUCUUGACUCCAGCCCAUGGAUGUCCCACCAGAUGGCCGCUUGCCUCCUUCAGUGAAACACACUCUGGUGCCCGGCUCCUGGCUCCCUGUGAGCUCAGCAGGGGACGGCGUGGGGACAGACGGGGCUCAAGAAGGAGCAAUGCCUCGUCCAGAUUCCCGCGGGGAUGGGCCGUGGAUGGUGGCUGCCCCCCGCCUCACUGACAACCUGGCAGGUGGAGAGGACAGUCCCCAGCCCAGGACUUGGUCAGGAGCCUCCUCUACCUCCCCUCGGCCACACAGCCCCUGCGGGUGAGGAAGGAGGGGCCUGCCACCCUGGCCACAGGUGGCAGAAGAGCCACCAUUUGAGCAGAAGCCUAAUACAAAAAAAAAAAAAAAA
ensembl:lncRNA